GUGAGGAAUUUUGGACAAUGGGGGAAACCCUGAUCCAGCGACGCCGCGUGAAGGAUGACGGUCUUCGGAUUGUAAACUUCUUUUAUUUGGGACUAAGAAAUCCGUGGAAACACGGAGAGUGAAUGUACCAGAUGAAUAAGCAACGGCUAACUUCGUGCCAGCAGCCGCGGUAAUACGAAGGUUGCAAGCGUUACUCGGAAUUACUAGGCGUAAAGGGCAGGUAGGUGGUUUGGUAAGUCUAUUGUGAAAGCUCCCGGCUUAACUGGGAGAGGCCAAUGGAUACUACCAAGCUUGAGUAUAGGAGAGGUUACUGGAAUUCCCGGUGUAGCGGUGAAAUGCGCAGAUAUCGGGAGGAACACCAAUGGCGAAAGCAGGUAACUGGACUAUUACUGACACUCAACUGCGAAAGCUAGGGGAGCAAAC
rnacentral:rRNA from 1 species